AGUUCAUAUUUCCAGACGCAUUAUUGCGUCUUUACUUUUCCUCUUUCUUCUUCUCCUUCCAACGCGUCUUUACUUCUCGAGUUCUCCUCCUUCUUCUUCUUCCAAGUUCCAACGCACAACGGCAGGAAGAAAAUUGAUUAUCCAAGCUCUUGCUCUCUCCCAAGUCCCAAACCCCCUGCAAAUUUUUUCUUUAAAUUGGUUUCAAACUUUCAAUGGUUACUCAAUUCUUCAAUUCAUUCUCAUCCAUCACCCAAUCUUUCUCCUCUCUAUGUUUAUGUUAUUCUACGGUGAUCGUACGAAAUUUUCAGCUUUCCAUUGAUGUAGGUUGAGGUGCAAUUGGAAGUUGCAGAUGCAAGUCAACGAAGAUCAAAAGACUGAGAAGAGAAAGAACAAGAAGGAAAAAAGCAAAUUCCAGAUUUUCAGGUGCAAUUAUAAGUUGGAUUUGCAAGUCAAUCUCGAUCAGAAAAGAAAAAACAAGAAGGACAAAAGCUGAUUCCAGAUUUCCAGGUUUUAUUGUUCUAUGCUAAAGUGUUUAUCAUUCAAAGUUUAGUGUCUUGGCUUGCUUAUUUGAGUUUUUUCUUGCUAGUUUCAAUAAUGUUUCCUAGGAAACAAAUCUCAGGUUCUCAAAAAAGAAAAAGAAAGAAAAGAGAAGAAGAAAUUAUUCAAUCUCAACGGGGAUCUUUAGAUAGAUAUUUUGUUAAAGAAACAAAUGAAUCUGUUGAAAAUCAUGUUGAGAAUUUAGUAAAUGAACCUGAACUACAUAUUCAUUGUUGUUUGAAUCUUGAAACUGCUUUGAGAAAUGGUGAUGGUUCUGACAUUGAUGCGAAAUAUUUGCUUAUGGAGUUACAAAUUUUGCAGGAAAUGUUGCCGAAUGAGGCAUAUGAAACAGAUAGGCCUUGGACAUCCAUUCAAAUUAUGGAGUUUGCAAAGAAAAUGGAUAUGUUUCCAAGUGUUAUGGUUGCCUAUAGGAUUUUAUUAACUAUACCGGUGACGGUAGCAUCCGCUGAAAGAAGUUUUUCAAAAUUAAAAUUAUUAAAAUCUUAUUUGCGGACUACCAUGACUCAAGAUAGGCUGAAUAGAUUAGCUAUUUUAACCAUUGAAAGAAAUAUGUUGGUAAAUGUUGACUAUGAGAAGAUAAUUGAUGAUUUUGCUUCAAGAAAUGCAAGAAGGCAUCAUUUCAGAUGAUUUGUAAUCUUUUUUAUAUGGGGUUUUGGUUUUAUGUCUCCUCCCAUUGUAUAAUAUUUCUUUAUGUAAUAAAAUCGGCGUGGGGAUGAGCCGCCCAGUUUGACUGGGUUCCAAACCCCUAAAUAAAGGAUUUAGAUUAUGACAUUUUGUAA